rnacentral:rRNA from 1 species
AUGAAUGCUAAAUAUAAACUUGCUGGAGAUAAGGGUAGAAAACAUGUUGUGUUUGCACCUGGAGAUCUUGUUUGGUUACAUUUGCGUAAGGAUAGAUUUCCUGAUUUGCGCAAAUCAAAGUUAAUGCCACGUGCUGAUGGUCCCUUUAAGGUGUUAGAGAAAAUAAAUGAUAAUGCAUAUAAACUUGAGCUGCCUGCAGAUUUUGGGGUUAGUCCCACUUUUAACAUUGCAGAUUUGAAGCCUUAUUUGGGUGAGGAAGAUGAACUGCCGUCGAGGACGACUUCAUUUCAAGAAGGGGAGGAUGAUGAGGACAUCAAUACAAUUGUUACACCCACAGCCCCUGCUGCUAUACAUACUGGACCAAUUACUAGAGCUCGUGCACGCCAACUAAAUUACCAGGAAACAGACCCUCGUGGUCAGGUUGAUCGUGCUCCGGCGUGGUCAAUAACCUCUCGGAGUUGGUUUAGCGAUUGCUAA